rnacentral:rRNA from 1 species
AGGAAUCUGACCAUUAGCGCGUGAGGGAUGAAGGCCUCGGGUUGUAAACCUCUUUCAGCAGGGAAUAAGCGAAAGUGAAGGUACCUGCAGAAGAAGCACCGGCUACUAUGUGCCAGCAGCCGCGGAAUACAUAGGGUGCAAGCGUUGUCCGGAAUUAUUGGGCGUAAAAGAGCUCGUAGGUGGUCGAUCACGUCGGAUGUGAAAAUCUGAGGCUUAACCUCAGACCUGCAUUCGAUACGGGUUGACUGGAGUGUGGUAGGGGAGACUGGAAUUCCUGGUGUAGCGGUGGAAUGCGCAGAUAUCAGGAGGAACACCGAUGGCGAAGGCAGGUCUCUGGGCCAUUACUGACACUGAGGAGCGAAAGCGUGGGGAGCGAACAGGAUUAGAUACCCUGGUAGUCCACGCCGUAAACGGUGGGCGCUAGUUGUGGGAACCUUCCACGGUUUCUGCGACGCAGCUAACGCAUUAAGCGCCCCGCCUGGGGAGUACGGUC